AAGAUUAGUGCCCACGCUUCUAUUUUGUAAUCCUCUUCAAGCGUAGGAUUGUAUCAGUAUAAUUUUUAUUUCUGGUCUUGCGAAGACAGCACUUGCCCAAUUUUUUAUUAAGUCUCCUACAUUUUUCGUUACUGAAUUUAGAUUCAGUCAUGCAUAAGCAUACACAUUGAUCAACCUUAUCCCAUAAUCCUCUAGAACAUUUAUUCCACCCUUUCUUUUGGUAGCUGCAAUAGAGACUACAAUGUAGAUCAUUCAGCAAUCAGCAAUACCUAAAGCAUAUCAAAUUAUAAAUGAUCAGUUUUGGUAACGAUCCUGCAAACACAUCUCGAAAUCUCUUCAUUGCUACACCAACUCAUUUUCGAUAGACUCCAAGAUAUUGUAGAGAUGCCAAAAAGAAAAUUAUGCUUAUGCAGGACAACAUUGCAGACCAUGCGUGCUUCCCAGCUUAGGUUCUUGAACACCUUUUCUUAGCUUCUGGCUUUGGCACCAACUCAUGGAAGUAGACUGAGAAUACUGCAAUCUGGUAUGACCGACUCUAUGAAUCCACCUCACUGUAUUGGCCUUCCCAUCUUAUAAUCGAGACAAACUUUCAAAAUUAUGGAUAGACAUGGAUUGGGUUUCUUAAAG
rnacentral:lncRNA from 1 species